CUUAGUGGAUCUCCUCUGUUGAAUUAUUGUGGAGUUACAUUGAACAGAACUUAAAUGAAGCUUGUCUUGGAUGGAUGUGCUUCCAUCUUGUCAACUUUAACGCACAUUGUGUUGGUGGUUUACUGAAUGGUAAAACUGUGUAAACUAUUUUUACUCAAUGGAAUACACAGCUUUCUUGAAGUUCACAGGUUUAUUGCAACUCAUAUCCAACGAAGAGGUUACGCAUGACUUACGGAAUUGCAUGGUAUUGGUCCAUAACAUGCUUGUGGGUAGCCUCUUGAAUUGCUAUUAGAUGAUUAUCACUGCCGAUUUAUUUUUUGUUGCAGCACUAGCUUGAAAAUCAACACAAACUUCUCCGAGCCAGAUCUAUAUGGAACAAAAUGGAUUUCAGGAUAUCAUUUCAUAUUCUGUAAUUCAGUUUGUAUCAAGGGAAUGCACCAAAUUAGUUACAGUUGUUGGUAUGGCAGAAUGCAAGAAGUGUGGCUCUUCCAACAAUGGAACUAUACAUAUGGCGGCCAACCUAGCCACACGAAUGAUUGUGUGUGUGAAUGGGCGUUUAUUUUGGAAUGAUGGCUUUUUCCCUUUUUCUCACCGUUUGAAUGUCAAAAGUCGAAAUUGUUAUACCAUGAUACAAUAAUGGGUACUGGUGUUUACCCAUGACCAAACAGAAGAAAUGCAAAGUUCGAUGAAUUUAGCAAGCUGUCUGUCACGACCACUCACCUCAUACGCAAGGGAAGUGCACAGAUUAUCCACGAGGUUUGUUGAUUCCCACUGGUUUGACCUGGAUGGGGGUGCAGGGUCCCGGUCCUGUUCAUUCUUUUUGAACUGUGCUUGAAAGUCUCAAGCAUUAUCGAAGGGGGAUAUAUUCUUAAUUGCUGCUGGUUUUGGUAUCAUUCAGAAAAAGUAGCGCAGGCUUGGGUAUCAUUCAAAAGUAUAGUUCUGGUCGGAUUAAAAUGCGUCAUACUCAAUACUGGACAAUGCAUAGGGACAGAGAACAAUAAGUGGCAGCGUUAAUUGGGGCACUUGAAAAAGGAAGGAUUACGAAUUGAAGUUACGCUAUGCAGGUGCAUUUAGGACGCGAAGAGGAAUCUAUGCUAUGCAACACACACUUGUUUGUUUACUAUUUUUGACACGACAUACUGGAGACAACGCUCUAACCUAAGACAAAUUUUUUCUAGCCUAUCUAGUCGAAUUGUCAAUAUAGAAGUUCUUAAUUCAAGUGGAUUCUCAUUA